rnacentral:tRNA from 1 species
GCAUUGGUGGUAGAGUGGUGAGCAUAGCUGCCUUCCAAGCAGUGGGCCAAGGUUUGAUUCCUGGCCAACGUA